rnacentral:lncRNA from 1 species
CUAGAUGAUCUCCUGGUUCACAUAAAUAGCCCUGGGUCGAACCAAGUUGAAUUGGUUGAAGACUUUCUUUAAAUGAUGUCGGUUUGGCCAAUUGAUGCAAACCGGCUUGAUCUUUUGGUUUGAUUGGGAUCCGUCUGAUCCAGUGUGGUAUGGUGCUUCCUAUGAUGUUGUGGAGUGCCUCUGAAUGAUUUAAAAGGUCUCCUGGUUGCCAUUCUUGAGGUUGGUUCGAUGUGAAACCCGGAUCUUCCAAAUAAGGCAAGUGUAGAGCUGGUUUGGCCGGUUUUGGGAAAUUGAUCAUAUCUUCCAAUUUCCUUGACCAUUUCUCGAGAUCUUGGGCUUUCUGGAAAUCUAAUAAACUCCUCUUGACUCCUAUGAUCUGUUUUGGUUCAGGCCGCUUCUUCUUUGGGCUGGAAUCCUCUUCUAAAGUCGCAUACUCGCAGAUGAAUGGGCUGAGAAACCUCUGAAUUGUAAAAUUUAUAACUUCUUGAUCCAUGAAUAUUUUGGGCCGGCUCCAAUUGGCAUGGACUCCUUCUUGAGUGUAGAAUCCAUAAAAAUUAGCCUCGUCAUUUAAACCCUCCUAGUUUGUAAGAUAUGGCAUGUUUAGUGCACGUAUGUCCUGGUUGGCGCCUUGGCUGGUUGAAUAGGGCUUUGGGUUGACCUCUGGUUCAGUUGCUGAUCUGAUGGCCGCGAAGACCUUGAAAUAUUGUCCAAUAUAUAAACUCUAACUGGGCUGUCUGUAUCUUUGACUCGAUGGGCUUUGAGGACAUAACCUUAGGAAAUUAUUUGAUUAUUUCAACUCUUGUAAAACAUAUUAAAAACAAAACUAGAUUUUAACCCGCGUUUUAAAAACGCAUAAUUGUUUAUUUUUUAAAUAUUUAAUUUUAUAACAAAAAUUUGUACUUUAAUUUUAUAUUAUGUGUUUUAGAACUUUAUUUAAUAGUUAAUUUAAAAUACAUUAUUUAAUAUUUGUUUUAUAUAUUUUGGAUGAUCAAUAUCUAAAAAUGUUAAUUUUGUGAAAAUAAUUAUUAAUUUUUUGCAAAAUUUAAAUCGAACUCAAAGUUCAUUUACUGAAAAGUUUAAUAUGAAAAAAAAGAAUUCAGCGUAUUGGACUCAACUCGUAUCAAAACUAUGAUAGAUUUAUUGAACCUAAUAUAUAGAUUUUAUUUACUUGUUUGAAUAUUUCUGGAUUUUUUUUUUAAAUGUAAAUUUUUUUUGUAACCAUAAUUUAGAAAAUUCUAUGUAAUAUAUUUAUGUGCAAAAUCAGUCACAUUAAUUGAUAUGGAUUGUUGCAUAUAACUAUUUUUAAGGAUUAAGCAAUUAAUUAAAGUAUAAAAAGAUGCCAUAAUUAUAGGAAAGUAUCCAUUGUGGACGACUUUUUAAAAAUAAAAAAUUAUUUACAUUUAUGAAUAACAUGCCAUUGUAAAUAACACAAAUAAUUAAGGGCAGGAUUCUAUCAAGAAUUAUGCUUUAGUAGUAUAUAUGUGAAACAUAAAAAAGUAUCAAACUAAUAAAAUAGAAACAUUAUUUAAUUUUUCAUAAUAAAGUUGCAUAAAAUUCAAGAUUUGAAAAAUGUAUUAAAUAUUGCAUCAAUACAAUAGAACAAUUUGACUUGGCACAUGGAAUUAGCUCCUGAUGCUAGCAAAACAAGCACCAAACGCUUGAUCUUUUGGUUUGAUUGGGAUCCGCCUGAUCCAGUGUGGCAUGGUGCUUCCUAUGAUGUUGUGGAGUGCCUCUGAAUGACUUAGAAGGUCUCCUGGUUGCCAUUCUUGAGGUUGGUUUGAUGUGAAACCCGUAUCUUCCAAAUAAGGCAAGUGUAGAGCUGGUUUGGC